rnacentral:rRNA from 1 species
CAGCCGCCGCGGGAAAACGUAGGGCGCAAGCGUUAUCCGGAAUUAUUGGGCGUAAAGAGCUCGUAGGCGGUUUGUCGCGUCUGCCGUGAAAGUCCGGGGCUCAACCCCGGAUCUGCGGUGGGUACGGGCAGACUAGAGUGAUGUAGGGGGGACUGGAAUUCCUGGUGUAGCGGUGAAAUGCGCAGAUAUCAGGAGGAACACCGAUGGCGAAGGCAGGUCUCUGGGCAUUAACUGACGCUGAGGAGCGAAAGCAUGGGGAGCGAACAGGAUUAGAUACCCCCGUAGUCCCUGUCUCUUAUAC